rnacentral:rRNA from 1 species
CACUAUCGUUAACUGAAUACAUAGGUUAACGAGGCGAACCGGGGGAACUGAAACAUCUAAGUACCCCGAGGAAAAGAAAUCAACCGAGAUUCCCCCAGUAGCGGCGAGCGAACGGGGAGCAGCCCAGAGUCUGAAUCAGCUUGUGUGUUAGUGGAACGGUCUGGAAAGUCCGACGGUACAGGGUGAUAGUCCCGUACACCAAAAUGCACAGGCUGUGAACUCGAAGAGUAGGGCGGGACACGUGGUAUCCUGUCUGAAUAUGGGGGGACCAUCCUCCAAGGCUAAAUACUCCUGACUGACCGAUAGUGAACCAGUACCGUGAGGGAAAGGCGAAAAGAACCCCGGCGAGGGGAGUGAAAAAGAACCUGAAACCGUGUACGUACAAGCAGUGGGAGCACCUUCGGGUGUGACUGCGUACCUUUUGUAUAAUGGGUCAGCGACUUAUAUUCUGUAGCAAGGUUAACCGUAUAGGGGAGCCGCAGGGAAACCGAGUCUUAACUGGGCGUUAAGUUGCAGGGUAUAGACCCGAAACCCGGUGAUCUAGCCAUGGGCAGGUUGAAGGUUGGGUAACACUAACUGGAGGACCGAACCGACUAAUGUUGAAAAAUUAGCGGAUGACUUGUGGCUGGGGGUGAAAGGCCAAUCAAACCGGGAGAUAGCUGGUUCUCCCCGAAAGCUAUUUAGGUAGCGCCUCGUGAAUUCAUCUUCGGGGGUAGAGCACUGUUUCGGCUAGGGGGUCAUCCCGACUUACCAACCCGAUGCAAACUACGAAUACCGAAGAAUGUUAUCACGGGAGACACACGGCGGGUGCUAACGUCCGUCGUGAAGAGGGAAACAACCCAGACCGCCAGCUAAGGUCCCAAAGUCAUGGUUAAGUGGGAAACGAUGUGGGAAGGCACAGACAGCCAGGAUGUUGGCUUAGAAGCAGCCAUCAUUUAAAGAAAGCGUAAUAGCUCACUGGUCGAGUCGGCCUGCGCGGAAGAUGUAACGGGGCUAAACCAUGCACCGAAGCUGCGGCAGCGACACUAUGUGUUGUUGGGUAGGGGAGCGUUCUGUAAGCCUGCGAAGGUGACCUGUGAGGGUUGCUGGAGGUAUCAGAAGUGCGAAUGCUGACAUAAGUAACGAUAAAGCGGGUGAAAAGCCCGCUCGCCGGAAGACCAAGGGUUCCUGUCCAACGUUAAUCGGGGCAGGGUGAGUCGACCCCUAAGGCGAGGCCGAAAGGCGUAGUCGAUGGGAAACAGGUUAAUAUUCCUGUACUUGGUGUUACUGCGAAGGGGGGACGGAGAAGGCUAUGUUAGCCGGGCGACGGUUGUCCCGGUUUAAGCAUGUAGGCUGGUUAUCCAGGCAAAUCCGGAUAAUCAAGGCUGAGGUGUGAUGACGAGGCACUACGGUGCUGAAGUAACAAAUGCCCUGCUUCCAGGAAAAGCCUCUAAGCAUCAGGUAACAUCAAAUCGUACCCCAAACCGACACAGGUGGUCAGGUAGAGAAUACCAAGGCGCUUGAGAGAACUCGGGUGAAGGAACUAGGCAAAAUGGUGCCGUAACUUCGGGAGAAGGCACGCUGGUGUGUAGGUGAAGUCCCUGCGGAUGGAGCUGAGACCAGUCGAAGAUACCAGCUGGCUGCAACUGUUUAUUAAAAACACAGCACUGUGCAAACACGAAAGUGGACGUAUACGGUGUGACGCCUGCCCGGUGCCGGAAGGUUAAUUGAUGGGGUUAUCCGUAAGGAGAAGCUCUUGAUCGAAGCCCCGGUAAACGGCGGCCGUAACUAUAACGGUCCUAAGGUAGCGAAAUUCCUUGUCGGGUAAGUUCCGACCUGCACGAAUGGCGUAAUGAUGGCCAGGCUGUCUCCACCCGAGACUCAGUGAAAUUGAACUCGCUGUGAAGAUGCAGUGUACCCGCGGCAAGACGGAAAGACCCCGUGAACCUUUACUAUAGCUUGACACUGAACAUUGAGCCUUGAUGUGUAGGAUAGGUGGGAGGCUUUGAAGCGUGGACGCCAGUCUGCGUGGAGCCAACCUUGAAAUACCACCCUUUAAUGUUUGAUGUUCUAACGUUGGCCCCUUACCGGGGUUGCGGACAGUGUCUGGUGGGUAGUUUGACUGGGGCGGUCUCCUCCCAAAGCGUAACGGAGGAGCACGAAGGUUAGCUAAUCCUGGUCGGACAUCAGGAGGUUAGUGCAAUGGCAUAAGCUAGCUUGACUGCGAGCGUGACGGCGCGAGCAGGUGCGAAAGCAGGUCAUAGUGAUCCGGUGGUUCUGAAUGGAAGGGCCAUCGCUCAACGGAUAAAAGGUACUCCGGGGAUAACAGGCUGAUACCGCCCAAGAGUUCAUAUCGACGGCGGUGUUUGGCACCUCGAUGUCGGCUCAUCACAUCCUGGGGCUGAAGUAGGUCCCAAGGGUAUGGCUGUUCGCCAUUUAAAGUGGUACGCGAGCUGGGUUUAGAACGUCGUGAGACAGUUCGGUCCCUAUCUGCCGUGGGCGCUGGAGAAUUGAGGGGGGCUGCUCCUAGUACGAGAGGACCGGAGUGGACGCAUCACUGGUGUUCGGGUUGUCAUGCCAAUGGCACUGCCCGGUAGCUAAAUGCGGAAGAGAUAAGUGCUGAAAGCAUCUAAGCACGAAACUUGCCCCGAGAUGAGUUCUCCCUGAGACUUUAAGUCUCCUGAAGGAACGUUAAAGACGAUGACGUUGAUAGGCCGGGUGUGUAAGCGCAGCGAUGCGUUGAGCUAACCGGUACUAAUGAACCGUGAGGCUUAACCUUACAACGCCGAAG